AAUGGGUCAGCGACUUAUAUUCUGUAGCAAGGUUAACCGAAUAGGGGAGCCGAAGGGAAACCGAGUCUUAACUGGGCGUUAAGUUGCAGGGUAUAGACCCGAAACCCGGUGAUCUAGCCAUGGGCAGGUUGAAGGUUGGGUAACACUAACUGGAGGACCGAACCGACUAAUGUUGAAAAAUUAGCGGAUGACUUGUGGCUGGGGGUGAAAGGCCAAUCAAACCGGGAGAUAGCUGGUUCUCCCCGAAAGCUAUUUAGGUAGCGCCUCGUGAAUUCAUCUCCGGGGGUAGAGCACUGUUUCGGCAAGGGGGUCAUCCCGACUUACCAACCCGAUGCAAACUGCGAAUACCGGAGAAUGUUAUCACGGGAGACACACGGCGGGUGCUAACGUCCGUCGUGAAGAGGGAAACAACCCAGACCGCCAGCUAAGGUCCCAAAGUCAUGGUUAAGUGGGAAACGAUGUGGGAAGGCCCAGACAGCCAGGAUGUUGGCUUAGAAGCAGCCAUCAUUUAAAGAAAGCGUAAUAGCUCACUGGUCGAGUCGGCCUGCGCGGAAGAUGUAACGGGGCUAAACCAUGCACCGAAGCUGCGGCAGCGACACUGUGUGUUGUUGGGUAGGGGAGCGUUCUGUAAGCCUGUGAAGGUGUGCUGUGAGGCAUGCUGGAGGUAUCAGAAGUGCGAAUGCUGACAUAAGUAACGAUAAAGCGGGUGAAAAGCCCGCUCGCCGGAAGACCAAGGGUUCCUGUCCAACGUUAAUCGGGGCAGGGUGAGUCGACCCCUAAGGCGAGGCCGAAAGGCGUAGUCGAUGGGAAACAGGUUAAUAUUCCUGUACUUGGUGUUACUGCGAAGGGGGGACGGAGAAGGCUAUGUUGGCCGGGCGACGGUUGUCCCGGUUUAAGCGUGUAGGCUGGUUUUCCAGGCAAAUCCGGAAAAUCAAGGCUGAGGCGUGAUGACGAGGCACUACGGUGCUGAAGCAACAAAUGCCCUGCUUCCAGGAAAAGCCUCUAAGCAUCAGGUAACAUCAAAUCGUACCCCAAACCGACACAGGUGGUCAGGUAGAGAAUACCAAGGCGCUUGAGAGAACUCGGGUGAAGGAACUAGGCAAAAUGGUGCCGUAACUUCGGGAGAAGGCACGCUGAUAUGUAGGUGAAGUCCCUCGCGGAUGGAGCUGAAAUCAGUCGAAGAUACCAGCUGGCUGCAACUGUUUAUUAAAAACACAGCACUGUGCAAACAC
rnacentral:rRNA from 1 species